GUAAGGAAUCUUCCACAAUGGACGAAAGUCUGAUGGAGCAACACCGCGUGCAGGAUGACGGUCUUCGGAUUGUAAACUGCUUUUAUUAGAGAAGAUUAUGACGGUAUCUAAUGAAUAAGGACCGGCUAACUACGUGCCAGCAGCCGCGGUAAUACGUAGGGUCCAAGCGUUAUCCGGAAUCACUGGGCGUAAAGCGUGCGUAGGUGGCGUGUUAAGUGUGAUGUUAAAUCGUGUGGCUCAACCAUAUCGAUGCAUCGCAUACUGGCACACUAGAGGACGGCAGAGGCAAGUGGAAUUACGAGUGUAGCAGUGAAAUGCGUAGAGAUUCGUAGGAACACCAAUGGCGAAGGCAGCUUGCUGGGCCACUCCUGACACUGAGGUACGAAAGCGUGGGGAGCGAACAGGAUUAGAAACCCCUGUAGUCC
rnacentral:rRNA from 1 species